UACGGGGGGGGCAAGCGUUGUUCGGAAUUACUGGGCGUAAAGGGCUCGUAGGUGGCCAACUCAGUCAGACGUGAAAUCCCUCGGCUUAACCGGGGAACUGCGUCUGAUACUGGUUGGCUUGAGGUUGGGAGAGGGAUGCGGAAUUCCAGGUGUAGCGGUGAAAUGCGUAGAUAUCUGGAGGAACACCGGUGGCGAAGGCGGCAUCCUGGACCAAUUCUGACACUGAGGAGCGAAAGCCAGGGGAGCAAACGGG
rnacentral:rRNA from 1 species